rnacentral:rRNA from 1 species
UACGGAAGGGGGCUAGCGUUGCUCGGAAUCACUGGGCGUAAAGCGCACGUAGGCGGAUCUUAAGUCGGUGGUGAAAUCCUGGAGCUCAACUCCAGAACUGCCUUUGAUACUGAGGAUCUUGAGUUCGGGAGAGGUGAGUGGAACUGCGAGUGUAGAGGUGAAAUUCGUAGAUAUUCGCAAGAACACCAGUGGCGAAGGCGGCUCACUGGCCCGAUACUGACGCUGAGGCACGAAAGCGUGGGGAGCAACAGGG